CUCUCCCUCACGCGAUCGCUUCUUCUCGUGAGUUCCUCCCCAAAAAGCCUAUCCUCAGCACGAGAUCGCGCCGCCGACUCCCCUCCUUCCCUCUUCCCUCUUAGGCCACAACAGCCUACUCUCCUCCUCAAGUGAGCUCCACAGCGCCGCCGCUUGUUGCCACCAUCAGCAUCGUCGCUACCUCACCACCUCUGUCGAAUGUGGCUAGCCCUAGAUCCCUCCGGCCGAUCGCCUCUCCUUAUCACCAGAUUUCAGAUCAAGGAGAUCUAGCACCUCCUCUUCAUUGGAUUCAUGCUUGGUGUCGUCGCUUGAUUGGGAUGAUGCCACACCACCGCUGUGCCCUAGUUUGGAUUCACCACCCUUCUUUGGAUCGCAUUUGCCCUCUUCACCCGAGCGGUUUCCACUGCGCCAGCUACCAUUAGUUAUUUCUUCACUUAUCUCAACAGUCACAUUUUGUUGGUUUCGGUCAGAUAGGUAUCUGCCAAUGGGAGAUUGUGCUCCGACCAGCUUUGUUGAGGACGAUCCACAUAUUUGAGCAACCUAUUUCUGGUCAUGGAUUCCUGUAAUCAUGAGUUACUAGCAACCUACUUGGAUUUGGAUAAGUUGAGAAGGUAGCAGGUAAAGGAUUUAUGGAGACGCCUGGAGAUCCCGCCCGCCAGUCCCAUGUCACACCGAGCUUCCUCUGUCAUUAGUGCUUUUAUUCGCUUUAUUGGUUUUGUACUUGUUCGUAUAUUUGUAUCUUUU